GUCCUAUGUAAAGGUCAUCACCUUCACCCACAGCCAUGGUCCUAUGUAAAGGUCAUCACCUUCACCCACAGCCAUGGUCCUAUGUAAAGGUCAUCUCCUUCACCCACCCACAGCCAUGGUCCUAUGUAAAGGUCAUCACCUUCACCCUCCGCCAUGGUCCUAUGUAAAGGUCAUCACCUUCACCCACCCACAGCAAUGGUCCUA